AACUAUGACCAAAUCACCACGAACCUGCCCAAGCUAAUCAGAUCUGGGAAUGUAAGCAGGUUGAGCCUGGUUAGUACUUGGAUGGGCAACUGCUUGGGGAAUACCAAGUGCUGUCGGUU
rnacentral:rRNA from 1 species